rnacentral:rRNA from 1 species
GAUGACCGCUGGCGGCGUGCCUAACACAUGCAAGUCGAGCGAUCUCUUCGGAGAGAGCGGCGGACGGGUGAGUAACGCGUGGGUAACCUGCCCUGUACACACGGAUAACAUACCGAAAGGUAUACUAAUACGGGAUAACAUACGAAAGUCGCAUGGCUUUUGUAUCAAAGCUCCGGCGGUACAGGAUGGACCCGCGUCUGAUUAGCUAGUUGGUAAGGUAAUGGCUUACCAAGGCAACGAUCAGUAGCCGACCUGAGAGGGUGAUCGGCCACGCUGUAACUGGGACAGGGUCCAGACUCCUACGGGAGGCAGCAGUGGGGAACAUGGCAAAAUGGGCGAAAGCCUGAUGCAGCAACGCCGCGUGAGACAUCAAGGCCUUCGGGUCGUAAAGCUCUGUCCUCAAGGAAGAUAAUGACGGUACUGGAGGAGGAAGCCCCGGCUAACUACGUGCCAGCAGCCGCUGUAA